rnacentral:lncRNA from 1 species
GCGGAGAGCCUCACUCCGGGUCGAGCCGACGAGGAUGUGCCACGCCUCGGCACCCGGAAAAGAAAAAGGUAGAUAAUGAUAAUUGGUGUUAAUGCUGUUUUCCUGCAGGCUGCAGUGAGAUAUCCCCGAGACAAGUUGCAACGGAGUUCUAGCUGCAGACCAGCGCGGCGAACGUCGGCGGGCCAUCUUUCUGAGUCAAUUCGGGUUCUUGGCGGUGCAGUGCAGGAGAGCUGUUCGACGGAAUGCUCGGGUGAAUUCCCACCGAGCGGCGGGCACUUGGCGGGUACCAUGGUGCUGCUGCGGGCUGGCGACACGUUGAGGUAAUUAUUUCUCUUUUUCUUUUUGUUUUUUUACAUCCGGUCAUGGAGAUCCCGGAUUCGCCAAUGUUCUUCACGUCACACUGUGGUUUCACCAAAGUCGGCCAAACAAAUUUUAAACAAGCGCAUGUUUAGAACGCAACGACUUGGGACGGUACAUCCCUGCAGCAAGCGCGCUUGCGAGACAUCUAGACCAUGCACUGCACCGUGUGGCGGUGAUGCGUGGGCCGCCAUGGAGAACAUUAGGGAGCAGUUGAACAGAACGUUUGUGCAGAGGCUGUUGGAAAUAUGAGCAAUUUGCCACAAGAUUUAAUAGAUAAAAACAGUAAAUAAAACAUGUGGAAUAUGCAACCACGAAUGAUUCGCGACAAGAAUUAAUCAACAUGAAUAUUAGAAAAAACAUGACUAGAUCAAAUACAUUA